AUCAUUUCCCAUGUUUUAAGAGUAUUUUAUAUUUGAGCACUUGCCUUUGUUCCAGGGUACGGCUUCUGUGCUACUUGCUGGGCUCAUUGCGGCUCUGAAAUUGGUCGGUGGAACCUUAGCUGACCACUCAUUCUUAUUCCUCGGUACCGGAGAGGUUGGUGGAGCAACAUUGUAGGAGGUUACUGUUCUUCCAGUGCUGGUGGUGACCUCAAACGAGAGAGGCUGUCCGGAGAGGUUGAGAUUGCACUGCCAAUUCUGUCCCCAGUUCCUUCCCAUGGGUAUCCACCCUGUCUUGGAUCCCUUCACUUUGACUCCAACGACUUCCCCAUCCGAUCCUACAUUGGUGAUGAGGACUUGAUAGUAGAAUGAUGUCCCGUAAACGCAAAGGCAGCUUUCGACAUUUCAAAGUGUGCGCGGGGGAAAUUGCACCACCCACCAUAAUCAGCCGGAAGCCCGUAAUUCGGGGGACAGAAAUCGGUGGCAGUAAGAGUUACGGAUGGGCUUCCCUGUAGGCACCACAGGAUAUGGUCGACGCACCUCACCUCGAAGCAACUCCCGCAGGUGCUCCCUCUGUUGAACAACAUACUACUUAGCCCUGCGCUGUACUUUCCGUAGCUGCUCCUGUGAAGGUCGCCGUACCCACAAGCUCCUUCUGCAAUAUGUGUAACCAGUAAGUAAUUCUUCAUACAGCAAGGUAUUGAGAGAAAACAUGUCAAGUGACGUCCCACAUCGCUUGGUACCAAAGUAAUAUGAAGCAUAUAAGCGAAGUUUCACAUCACGGUCUUGGGUAGAACUCAACCCCAAAAGCUAGCUAUUGAAGUGAGGGUCCCAUUACACUUAUAUUAUUCAUAUUACGUUGGUACCCAAGCAUGUGGGACUUUGCUUUACACUUUCCCUCACACCCAGCGUGCUUACUUGGCAGCACCUGCGCGUGCAAGCCAGGAAUACGCACCAUACCCAUCCAUGGCAUACCCGGCUCUAAUACCAUGUUACAUGAUCUUGGGUAGAACUCAAUUCUAAAAACUAGCUAUUGAAGUGAGGUUGCCCUCGCCCCUCACGCUUAUAUUCUUCACAUGACUUUGGUACCCAAGCGAUAUAGGACUUCGAUUCACAGAUGUGUGAGUGCGCGCGCUAGUAGUAUUUGGGACAAUUUCACAAAUGUGAGAGACUAUUAAGUAGGUGCCAAGGAAGGAAUAUAGUACCUAUGAUGAUAGAGCCUUCGGUUUCUUUGGAGUACGUUGCGGUGGCGGACUUCCAUUCAUCAUCUUGGGCAGCGGCAUUGCAUCCAUGAAGUAAAAUCAAACAGAUCACAGUGGCCUGAAAGGCGGC